rnacentral:rRNA from 1 species
GCUUGUCUCAAAGAUUAAGCCAUGCAAGUCUAUGUAUAAAUCUUUAUACGGUGAAACUGCGAAUGGCUCAUUAUAUCAGUUAUCGUUUAUUUGAUAAUCACUGCUACUUGGAUAACUGUAGUAAUUCUAGAGCUAAUACAUGCGUCAAUGCCCGACUUUGGAAGGGCUGUGUUUAUUAGAUCCAACCAACCGCGGCGGGCAACCGGCGCGAACCUGGUGAAUCAUGAUAACUGAGCGAAUCGUAUGGCCUCGCGCCGACGAUGGUUCAUUCAAGUUUCUGCCCUAUCAGCUUUCGAUGGUAGGGUAUUGGCCUACCAUGGCAUUGACGGGUAACGGAGAAUUAGGGUUCGAUUCCGGAGAGGGAGCCUGAGAAACGGCUACCACAUCCAAGGAAGGCAGCAGG